rnacentral:sRNA from 1 species
GUAGUAAAAUAUUGAACGCACUGCAAAGUCAUUUUUCAAGGUUAUUUUGGUCAUCUGGGAACUACACCCAGCUUCAUGAACAUCCAUUUCAUGUUAGGCCGAGCCAUACGCAGUACUCUAUACGAACUUGAAUCGUUGGUUUUUAGGCAAAUAUACUAGUAGCCAAGAAACUCCGAUCGCUACUAAUCUGUAGUAUUGAUUGCAUUGAUUCCAUUCCAUCAAUUCUACUGGGUUGCCCCAGUUGCAUCACCCUUGGCAAAUGCCAGAUUCUCUUAUAAUCAAUCAUUUGGCCAAUGCUCCUUCAAUGUAAGUGGCUAGCUGAUCCAUUCAUCGUUUUGCGAAUAGUUUUGCGUGAGCAUCUACUCCGUACUCACAUUCUGCUCUGAGAUUUAAGUUCUUCAUAAGCCAACGCCACCACUUACAACAGUUGGUGGAAUGCACGGUCUUUUGAUAUGAUUUCCCUUUGAGAGGGAAAUGAUCGUCGUGACCUCCACAAUUCUCUAUCGUACUCAGCAGGGUCUGCGAAUCAAAACGAUUCGUAGUGGUGCCUUCUCAUUUUCUCCAGUUUGAAUCAGCUCAUUUUCAAGCCACCUUUACUUUGUAUUUAUAUUGUCCAGGGGAUAUAGGUUUACUGCGUAUAUAUCCCGCGUCAAAGGCCAGCACAUUACCGCGAAGUUUUCUAGUCUAUGCCACGGAGAAAUUUUAAGUUUCGGACAUUCUUGCUCUAUCAAGCUAACAAACCUACGUC